GUAAAAUUUUAUUCCUUUAAGGCUGAUGUCUUGAAUCUCAAUCAAUGGAUGAUCCUAUCCCUUUAAGGAUUUUAAGCCGUAUCAACUGAUUUGACACAACUGGUAUAAAUAGCUUCACCAGAGGUCUUCAGUCUGUUGGAAACCUUCGAGGAGAGAGGAUUUCCUAAGCAAUCUGACUGCCAAUUAAGAGAGGAUAAACGGGCAAGCAUGACCUCUGAUAUGAUCGCCAAUGACAGCAGUGAAACUGACCAGAACUCCUCUGCCCCUCAGUUCCAGCCUGGGGAAUGGAGCUAUUGGCUCAAACCACCCAUGUGGGGUCAGUGACCAGAGCUCCUUGCCGAAGCUCCUCUGCAAGAUUUGCAAAGUGGCCGGGAUUAGGGCGGUAUAGAAAUGUGCUAAAUAAAUAAAUAAAUAAAUAAAUAAAUAAAUAAAUAAAACAAACAAAUUUCUGAGUGCAAGGAAGCGAAAGCAGACGGGAUGGAACAGCAUGGAGGCUGAACUCUGCUUUUUCUCCUCUACCUUAAAGGCCAGAAACGUAAAAACAAAAGAAACCUGGAGCUAUCGGAGUGCCAAGUUUGAUUCCAAAUUUAAGCCAGCAUGGUACAGCAGUUAAAGGGUUGGACUAGCACCCGAGAAAUCUGAGUUCAAAUCCCCGUUCAGCCAUGAAACUCGCUGGGUGAUUCUAGGCCAGUCACUUCUCACUCAACCUAACCUACCUUGCAGGGUUGUUGUGGGGACAAAUAUAACCAUGUACAGCACUCUGGACUCUUUGAAGGAAGAGCAGGAUAUAAAUGUACGAAUAAUUAGAAAUCCAAGAUCAGCAGCACCCUGUAGCCCACCAGAUACCUCUGGGAAGCCCACAAACAAGAGACGAAGGCAUACCUACCCUCCCUUCCUUCCUCCUUCACAGACUCUCUCACAAUUCACACAGAUUCAUGGACCAUAAUGUAAUGCAUCACAAUUAAUAAACUACUACAAGCAACUG